rnacentral:tRNA from 1 species
CUCGUUAGCUUAGAUGGUAAAGCACUCGUUUAGCAUACAAGAGGCCUGAGUUCGAAUCCCAGCCGAG